GCCGCUCCUGCUCCAGGCGGCACCCUCCUCCCGACCACACCCCGACUGGGGCCUGCUGCAGGCAGGAGUGUCCAUCACAAGCCGCCCAGACGCAGGAGGGGUGCCCGCGGGGACUCGGGGACACAAACUUUCCAAGGGUGCAGCAGCCUUGUUACCACUCUGACCCCUGCUUCCUGGUGACACCCACAGUUUGUGGCCAAGAUGUACCAAAUACAAAUCAAAGGAAUCUUUUCACGUCAAAACAGUCCUCGUUCAGAUGUUCUAGAAACAGCGGCUCAUGCGGGAAACCACCAGAGAAACACGAGGUUGGAGUACGCACCCUCUUAUUUUCCCCGACCCCAGAGAAUUCUUCAACCUCUGAACUCUCCUUCUCACCUGCCUCACUUCCAUCGGAAAUCACUAAACCAGACAAAACUGGGAAAACCAUUCGAGAGCAGCAGAGGCAGCGUAAGUGGGCGGCUCCCGUGCACAGGGAGGACGGCACCGCGCAGGACGUCGGGGCCAGGGUCCCCGCAGCACCGCACCUGCUCCUGCGUCUCUUUGCCAGCGCUUGUGAGGCCGCUGCGUCUGCAGAAGCCUCUCCUGACCCCAGAGCCCUCCUGGCCCGGGGGCUCCCACCCACUUGCGCCCUGAGCUCCACCCAAACCCCCGUGCGCGGAGGGUGGGCCGAGUGAAGACCAAACGGGGCUAGCUGCCCGCAAAGAGACCCCACCGUCCG
rnacentral:lncRNA from 1 species